AUGGCAGUGAUGAUUGGCGCAGGGGUACGGACCUCAGCUGGAUCAUGGGAGCUGAGUGUGAGUGUGUCUGGGGACCCUGCAUGUGGCAGGUGACCAUGGAGCACUCGCAUGAGAACAGAGCCAAAAUCUGAGCCAC